AAUUUACAUUUUUUAAAACAUCAUGCUAAUUUAAUAUAUUAAUAAUAUUACAGCCCGGGCCCUGUGGCACAUGAUUGUAAUUCCAGCACUUUAGGAGGCUGACUUGGGCCCAGGAGUUUGAAACCAGCCUGGGUAACAUGGUGAAAUCCCAGCCCUACAAAAAAUACCAAAAUUAGCCAGGCAAGGUGGUGUGUCCCUGCAGUCCCAGCUGCUAGCAAUGCUGAGGAGGGAGAAUCAACUGAGCCCAGAAGGUUGAGGCUGCAAUGAGCUAUGAUCCUGCCACUGCACUCCAGCCUCAUGGACAGAAUGAGACCCUGUCUCAAAUAAUAAUUAUAUAUUAUUUGGUAAAAUAAACAGGAAGAGGCAAGAUUCUUAAUAUUGUAAAAUACUAUAACAUUGAAUGGAAGUAAAAUACCAGAAGAAAAGAGAUAUGUGAAGAUUCAGGGACUGACAACAUAGGUGAUGUUUUCAGGUUUUCAGUGUCCCUAGUCCACAUGUCAAAACAAUCUUUUUUAAAGUAAACGGCAUGUUGCUCUCUCUCUAUAUUUCCUAUCACUACAAAAGAGACACAGUGUUUUGGGGGCCUACUGGGAUUUUGGAGCCAACAUAUUCCACAUUUGAGAAUAUUGCUCUGACUCAUUAAUGAAGUUUCUAUAGGCUACUGGUCUCAAAUGGAGCCCAGAACAAAAGAGGGCUCUACAGCAGAUAUAGGUUCUGAUCCAAACUGCUAUGGCCACUGAGCCAAAUGAUCCAGCAGAAUUCAAAGCUGUUAGAGGCAUACAUAGUGGGCAUUAUAGGACUCUGUGCACGUCUCUGACAAGCCUGUGGGAGAGGGGAGAGCAAAUCCCUAUGGAAUUAGUGCAAGACCAUUCCCUCUUCAGCAGAGGAGUAUCCUCUGUGCAACUGUGCAAGUCAUAUGCUCAUAAAGCCAGCCAUGACUGGAGGGCAUGAGUACAUCUGAGCGGCACAAAGAGUGGUGGUAUUGGACACAGACAUGUGCUUUCUUAGAUUCCCUUCACUAUCUCCUAUUCCCCUGGCCAGCACCUUGCCUGAUCCAGAUCAUCCUUCCAUUUGGGACUUGAAUGGAACACCACACUGUGGGCAUGAGGUCUGACUUUCACAACCUCCACCUAGGGACUGGAUGAUGGAAGGCAGAACAGCAGAGAUGGUAGUUCUGCCUCAGGGAAACAAUGGCCAAUGGGAAAUCAAAUACAGAAGACAACUGAGCAGAUACAUUCUCCAUUCUCCCUCCUCUCUCUCAUCCCUGGACUAAUGCCGGCUGUGGUUUCCCCUUGUAGCCCUUCUGGAAAAGUGCUGGGAGCCAAGUGUACGCAUCUGAUGACCGUCAUGCUGUCUCUCUCACCUCACUGUGAAGUGGCUGCCAGCAGAGCCAUACCAGAC
rnacentral:lncRNA from 10 species